AUUGAACGCUGGCGGCAUGCCUUACACAUGCAAGUCGAACGGUAACAGGACUUCGGAUGCUGACGAGUGGCGAACGGGUGAGUAAUACAUCGGAACGUGCCCAGACGUGGGGGAUAACGAGGCGAAAGCUUUGCUAAUACCGCAUACGAUCUAAGGAUGAAAGCAGGGGACCGCAAGGCCUUGUGCGUUUGGAGCGGCCGAUGGCAGAUUAGGUAGUUGGUGGGAUAAAAGCUUACCAAGCCGACGAUCUGUAGCUGGUCUGAGAGGACGACCAGCCACACUGGGACUGAGACACGGCCCAGACUCCUACGGGAGGCAGCAGUGGGGAAUUUUGGACAAUGGGCGAAAGCCUGAUCCAGCAAUGCCGCGUGCAGGAUGAAGGCCUUCGGGUUGUAAACUGCUUUUGUACGGAACGAAAAGGCUCUGGCUAAUACCUGGGGCACAUGACGGUACCGUAAGAAUAAGCACCGGCUAACUACGUG
rnacentral:rRNA from 1 species